GACGGAUAGUAUGCGGAUCGGAUUCAUUCAGCCAGUUGGCGUCAAUAUCACAUUGAGAUUUCAUGUGAAUUUGUGAUGGAGUUCGACUCCUCGUGUCUGGACCUGUGUGCAUUUCUUGAAGGGUGAAGUUGUGACAGGACACAACAGCCAGUUCAGACAUGCAGCUGAUUGACAGAUGAGUCCUCCAAUCACAGAGAGAGAGAGAGAGAGAGUGAGAGUGAGAGUGAGAGUGAAGUGUGUUUGUUUUGUGUGCUUGGAAGUUUAAACAGCGUGUAGACGGACAACAAGUAAGUGCUUUCAAAACUCAUUUAAAAUCAUGUUUAAUAGAUAGAUAGAUAGAUAGAUAGAUAGAUAGAUAGAUAGAUAGAUAGAUAGAUAGAUAGAUAGAUAGAUAGAUAGAUAGAUAGAUAGAUAGAUAACCAAAAUCAAAAUUCUUUACCCUCAUGUGUGUGUUAAUCUGUAUGUGAGUGUUUCUGCAGUGAAACACAAAAGAUAUAUUGAGAAAUGGCUCAGUGGUUUUGGUAAAUCAGUGAGGUUCAGUGUUGUUUGAUUACCAACAUUCUUCAAAAUAUCUAAUUUUGUGUUCUGCAGACGAAAGUCAAACGUACAUAAAUUAUGACAAAUUUCAUUUUUGGGUCGUAAAGAGCAGAUUUACACACCAGACUGUUUUAUAACCUGUAAUGAUAUGUUUCAUGAUGUCCUGAAAGGAUUCACACAUCUUCUGAUUCUCUUCUGUCAGGAUGGGGUCCGGUGAUGGUGUUCGUGUCCCGGUAGCGCUGCUUUCUGUCGGGUUCUUGUGCGUCCUCGGCGUGUCGUGGUUCUGGAGUUUUUUGGCUCUUCUCGGGCUGUAUUUGUUCUCUGGAGGAUGGAGGUUUCUGUAUAUAGCUGCAUGUACCUUCAAGAGAGAUCUGUUCGGUCUGUACGUGCUGCUGCGCAUGAAAUCCUCCUUGAGCCGCCAUCAGCGUGCCCGCAGCACCAUCACAUCUAUAUUCGCCCAGCGGGUGGCGCUCCACCCGGACAAGCCGGCUCUGGUGGAGGAUUCCACGGGUGAGGUGUGGAGCUUCUCGGAGCUGGACCGGCGGUCUAACGCUGUGGCCCGGUGGGCUCUGGCGCAGGGCUGGGCCUCGGGCGAUGUGGUGGCCGUCUUCAUGGAGAGUCGACCGUUCGUGGUGGCCCUGUGGCUCGGACUGGCCAAAGUGGGCGCGGAGGCGGCGUUCAUUAAUUUCAACCUGCGACGUGAUACGCUGAUGCACUGUGUGGGCGUGUCGGGAGCCAAGGGGAUGGUGUUUGGGGCGGAGCUUGUGGAUGCUGUGACGGAGGUGAGGGACUCUCUGAGCGGUCUCUCUCUCUUCUGUUCUGGGACAGCUCCAGCCGGGACAUUAAAGUCUCUCUCUGCUCAAAGUCUGGACGCCCUGCUCGCCGAAUGUCCUGACGGUCCCCCCGCUGUCACACACAACAAGAGCUUCAACGAUAGGUUGUUUUAUAUCUACACCUCUGGAACGACAGGUUUACCUAAAGCUGCCAUAGUGGUUCACAGCAGGUACUACCGCAUUGUUAUGUUUGCGUAUUAUUCGUUUGGACUGCGGCCUGAUGAUGUGCUGUACUGCUGUUUACCGCUCUAUCACUCCGCAGGUAACAUCUUGGGGGUGGGUCAGUGUCUGUUGUUCGGUGUGACGGUGGUGGUCCGCAGGAAGUUUUCUGCCAGCCGUUUCUGGGACGACUGCGUUAGAUACAACUGCACGGUGAUUCAGUACAUCGGUGAAAUCUGUCGAUAUCUUUUAUCUCAGCCGGUUCGUCCAUCCGAGUCCUGUCACCAGGUGCGUGUUGCCAUGGGCAACGGUCUGCGGCUCAAUGUUUGGGAAGCGUUCACAAAACGUUUCAACAUCAAACGCAUCGGGGAGUUUUACGGAGCCACGGAGUGCAACUGCGGCCUCGCCAACCUCGACAACAAGGUGGGGGCGUGUGGCUUCAACAGUGUCAUUCUGCCCAACGUUUAUCCCAUCAGACUGCUGAGAGUCAAUGAAGACAACAUGGAGUUAAUCAGAGACGAACACGGACUCUGUGUUCCAUGCAAACCUGGUGACCCGGGGAUUAUCGUUGGCAGAAUCAAUCCUGACGAUCCGUUACGGCGUUUCGACGGUUACGCUAACCAAGAGGCCACCAAUAAAAAGAUCACACACGAUGUGUUCAGUGAAGGCGACUCUGCUUACGUGUCAGGUGAUCUGAUGGUGAUGGAUGAGUUCGGUUACGUGUAUUUCCGCGACCGGAGCGGAGACACGUUCCGCUGGCGGGGGGAGAACGUCUCGACCACAGAGGUGGAGGGAGUUCUCAGUUCUCUGUUGAAUCAGACGGAUGUGGCCGUGUAUGGAGUCUCUGUACCCGGUGUUUGUGUGUGUUUGUUGAUCAGGUGUGGAGGGGAGGGCCGGUAUGGCUGCUAUAGCUCACACCACGGAUGAUUUCCACUGUCAGAGGUUUGUUGGAGAUGUGCAGAAGAGACUUCCUUCUUACGCCCGACCCGUCUUCAUACGGCUCUCACCUGAGGUGGACAAAACAGGCACCUUUAAAAUCCAAAAGACUCGCUUAAAGAGGGAAGGAUUCGACCCAAGGCAAACAAGCGACCGGAUCUUGUUUCUGAACAGUCGCGAGGGGUGUUACGAGGCUCUCA